rnacentral:rRNA from 1 species
ACGGAGGGUGCAAGCGUUACUCGGAAUCACUGGGCGUAAAGAGCGUGUAGGCGGGUUGAUAAGUUUGAAGUGAAAUCCUAUAGCUUAACUAUAGAACUGCUUUGAAAACUGUUAACCUAGAAUAUGGGAGAGGUAGAUGGAAUUCCUAGUGUAGCGGUGAAAUGCGUAGAUAUUAGGAGGAACACCAGUGGCGAAGGCGAUCUACUGGACGAUAACUGACGCUGAGGCGCGAAAGCGUGGGGAGCAAACAG